UCUAUCUCUACCACUUAGUGAAAGUAAGAAACUUUCUGGAAGGUAGUGCCUUAGGGUCACAGAAGAAAGAAAGAAAUGUUCUUAAAAGACUUUACUAGGAAUUGCCCUGCAAUUGUGUCCUGCUGUAACCCUUUGGUCUCUGUCUGCUCCUGACCCUGGCUGCUCAGAGGAAGGCUUGCUGGACUGGCUGCACUGCAGAGCACAAACUGGCCUCUACUUCAGUCCCGUGACUCAGAAGAGAAAUGUGUCCUUGACAAGCUGUCUCCUAGCACAGAUACAUCUGGAACAUGCAGCAAUCUUUGGAAAGGUUGAAUAAAGCUAGAGAUGUUCAUUGCCAAGGCUGGCCACAGUGGGGGCUCCUGCAUAUGUCUGCUUUGCAAGAAGAUUUUGACCGGAGCCGUGGCUUGAGGUGCAUCUCAGAACGGACAGUUUGCUAGCUCAUGAUGGGGAAUUAAUGGAUGUGGCUGAGCAUUGCUUGCAAUCAUCACCAAAAUGAGGGACUUUCUCAGCUCCACCACAGCCAGGCAGUGUGCAGUGCUUCUGGGAAGAGGAAGGCACUUCUCUGGAGGAGUAACUCAGGACACUUUUUCUAUGGACCUGUUGUGAUGCAUUUACUCAGGAUGAUGUCAGAACCAAGGGAGGAGCAAGAGAACACAAUUUCCAAUAUGAGCAACUCCAGGCACAUCCUCAUACUCCAUGGUAUGAUGGUAAGCAGAAAAAAAAAUGUUGUCACUCCAUGAAAGAAGUUUCAUCAUUCUUUUGGGAAAGUACUCUGUGGAAGUUCCCUCACACAAAGCUUUCUCCUCACCUUGACACUUAAAUUGUUUGCUGAAUUAGUUAUUGACCAACCAGUAGUCUGCCCUGAAUAAGGAACUGUAGGUAGGUUCACACCCAGAAUCUCAAAAGACACCCCAUAAUGGCAUGGAAACUUAUGUGUCUGCUUCUGCUUUGCUUUGCUCAAAAAGAAAUAUAAACAGUCACCUCCUCUCCUGACUUCCUUUCUUUGUGUCCCAGUCCAAUUACGUUGCUGCAGGCAACAAGAACUGAAGGACAGUGAGCUCACUCUCUGCUACCCACCCUUCUGAACCUGUAUAGCUCACCCUGUGAGACCUGCUCCUCGGAUGAAGCUACUUGAUCUUCAUGUCUUCACACUCCUAGUUUCUACCUUGCAUCUGAACACUUGGGACUUUACAAACUGGCUGAGUGGUCAUCUUAUUAGCACAUUGUUUGAUGUUAUAUUGCCUGAAAAUGAGAACAGUAUCAAUAACAACACUGGGGUGUGUGACAAGUUCUGUUAGUCCCACUGCUGUUAAGGCUCAAGACAAGGCAUUACAGUGUGCUUUGAUGUGUGUUGUGUCAUACAUAGUCACAAAGACACGGGACACUGCAACGGAACUAUCCUCUUGUUUUUUUUUUCUGCCAGUGUCUGAGUUCAGCUAGGUGGCCAGAUUUUUCAAGGUUGAAAUCAGAAAUAAAAGGCUGUAUUUCUCAGAAUUCUUAGAAGCAAUACUUAAAGUAUUACAGUCUUUGUAAUCUGGGACCCCCAACAGAAGAAGGACAUGAAUUCAGUGGAGUGGGUCCAGAGGAAGGCGAUGUAGAUGAUCAGAGGGCUGGAGCGCCUCUCCUGUGAAGACAGCCUGAGGGAGUCGGGGUUGUUCAGCUUGGAGAAGAGAAGGCUCUGAGGAGACUUUAAGGCAGCCUUCCAGUGCCUAAAGGGGGCCUGCAGGAAAGCUGGAGAUGUAAUUUAUCAGGGAGCCUGGUGAUAGAACAAGGGGUAAAAUCUUAAAAAUAGAAGAGGGUAGACAGAGGUUAGAUAUAAGGAGGAAAUUCUUUACUCUGAGGGUGGUGAGGCCCUGGCACAGGUUGACCAGAGAAGCUGUGGAUGCCCCAUGCCUGGAGUUGUUCAAGGCCAGGCUGGAUGGGGCUUUGAGCAACCUGAUCUAGCAGGAGGAGUCCCUGCACAUGGCAGAGGGUUGAGAAUUUGAUGAUUUUGAGGUCCCUUCCAACCCAAACCAUUCUAUGAUUCUUUUGUUUCUUUAUUGCCAGUCAUACUUCUAUUAUUUCUAGCAUUUGUAUAUGUGACUGUUAAAUACAAUUCUAGCUGGCAUAUGGAUCAGUCAGCAACUAGUACAAAAUGACUCUUUAGGACCAGUGUGUGCUUGUUGUUAACAAACCUAGAAGUCUUCCCUGCAAAAGAGGAAUCACAGAAAAAGAGUCUGUGUUCCCUGCUACUGUUUGAGACAGGAUAUUGGGCUCAACUGGCUUUUGGCCUGAUCUGGAGAAAGGCAUUCUCAUACUUUGCUUCCUAUUCUAUUUUUUAUUUGCUUAGUUAUAAACCUAAGGAGAGAUGAGAACUGUUAAGUAUGAAAUUGUAUAGGAAAGCAGGUAAAUUAGAUUUGGAAAGACUUGCCAGUGAAUUGGAAUAGUUUCUGGCUGGAGAAUCAUCUGCAGUAGCAUGGUGCUUUGCCAUAAAAUACUUAAUCUAAAGUCUUGUAUAAUGACCUUUGCUGUACCAAAGCACGUAUUUCUUGAGAUGGGGUUUUUGGCUGCAAAACACCACACUGGAAAAACCUUCAAGAAGAGAAAUUUGGAGAUACUAAGGCCUAUCUGCCGGAAUGGACUAGCAGAUAGAUCACCUUUUUCUGCCUGCUCUAUUAGCAGUUUCUCAGCAGCUACUAAUUACAGCCGUUCAGGCUGUGAUUGUUGUUUCAUUAAUUAGAUACCACAUGUUGUUUGCUUCUCUUUGCUGCCCAUCUUGACUAGCCUUUGACUGUGAGUGCAAUCAAGCAUUUCCAAGGUAAAUGGUACAUGAUCAGCGGCCAUGCGACAAAGAUAAAAAUUGUCCUAGGGAUUGUGCCUGUAGUAUCAAACAAGCAAAUCUUGAUUCAGCAGUGUAAAGAUCCCAUGUUCAAGUUUUUUACUUGGAUCAAAACUUGCUGCAAAUAUAUAAAGUGUAUUAGAAAAACAAACAAACAAAAAAAAACAUUUAAACACAGGAAUAUAUGUUGUACUGUGCUUUUAUAUUUCGGGAUUUGUUCAUUUGGCAAGUUAAACGGUACCAUUGAAAUCAACAUAUGCUUUUCUUCUCAUUGUGUUUUACUGCCGUAGAGGUGGUGGUAUCAGUGAAAAGGAUGAGUUAGUUAUAGAAAUGUUGCAUGAUACAACACAAUCUAUAGGCAGGUUACCAGAGUAACUUCCACAGGAUCUGAAACUGAGACAGAGACCAAGACUGCAGUUGUGUCCAUAUGGGCUCAAAAAGCCUGUCAUUUCUGCAUUCCCCAAUCACAAAAACUGUUCUUGAGGGUUUUCUCAGUUUUGAAAAAUAAGAAAACUGUCUUUCUUCCUUCUUGGAUAUGGCUUUCUUUUCCCCUAAAGAAGCUGGUCAUAAUCAGCUGCAAACUGUUUCUGUGAGUACCAGGCUGUACUAUAAAUCUGUAAGUUAGCUUUCCUGUAGCAUAAUUAUUCAUUGUGAUGCUUAUAACAUAGCAGUUUUACGUGCUUGCCUUCAUGCCAAAGUAGCUACUACUUUAAAAUACAAAGGAAGCUGAAGAUUGUAUAAGCUAUGUGCAGAUGAGGUAAUGAAUGUUUGGGCAGAAUCUGAACUGAAAGCAGCAGGUCCUUCAGCGUGCAACAGGGAAAAAGCCCAGAGCAGCUGACUGGAACCAGCAGCUGAAUCACUUGCACCCAGUACAAAAUUGCCAUUCAUUUGGCAUGAACAGAAACAUUUUCCUGGUCAGGAAUGGAGAUGGCAAAUACUCAGGUCAGGGACCACACAGAAACACAACUCGAAUCAUCGAUAUUAAACCAUUCUUCUUACAGCUGGCAUAUAGGUGCUCACACCUCCCCUUGUUUCUUGAACAAGAAUCCUUCUGCAAAGACCUCAGUCAGAAAUGUUCCAUGGCAAGAAAUUGAGUUGCUGUGGUCAAGUAUGAAACAAUCUAAAUCCUAUUACGCUUGGACAGUUGAUAUGUCAGCACAGCUGGGAAUGGCAGAGACAAAACAGAUUUUAAAAAGAUAAGAUCCCUUCUUAUGUCUCUUUGCCUCUGUGCUUAAUUACUUUGGCUGCAGACACCAUUGCUGGAAGCAAAGGCAACUUUUAAAAGAUUUCUCCCCCCUUUCAAAUAAAAACAAGAUUAAUGUGUUAGCUGAUUCAUAUCAUAAACAUUCAGACAAUGACUGUUCAGUUUCAAAAUUAACAAAGAAAGCUGAUACUGUUGAGAACAGAAAAAAUAAAUACAGAUUUCCUGGUUUAUGGUUACAAAUAAAAGCACUGUAAUAAAGGACAAAUUUUCAUGGAUAAUUAAAAAGGAGAAAAAAUAUUACAAAAUUAUAGUACAGCACAGGACUACAGAAAGUGUGUUUCUGUACUGAAAGAAAUGGCAUUGACAACAUUAUUUUUUGAGGUUCUGUAUUUUUUAUUUACAAAGAAAUACAUUGACAAUUGUUGAAAUAUUUGUAGUCUCCCUGUUAGAGUUCAGAUCUACUCUAAACACCUUUUUAAUGGACAAAGAUGAACAGAAAUUCUGUUGUGUACUUCCAUAUUGAACUCAUGCAUUGCUGGACUCCCUACUGGUUUGCUGCAUGACUAACUACAUAAUACUAAUUAUGCAAAGAAAAGAGAAUAGAUUAGCUUUCUGUCCUUGAAAUUCCGUGAUGUAUGACUCAAGACGGUAUUGAAAACCUGGGUUUCAUAUUUCUUCAAAUUUUCCAGUGGAAUUUCAAAUCUCUGUUGAGAAUUUUAGAUUACUGUGGUGGACUUACUCUUUUAAGAGAUCAUUUAAAAGCAUCUUAGACUGUGGGCCAGUUUGAAGAACCUCCAUUCCAUAGGAUAUAUUAAAAAGGUCUAACGUGCAUCCAUUCCCUAAAUGAGCCAAAACAUAGCUAUAGGUCUCCUGAUCCACUCUUUGAGAAGCAAGGCAGCACACUUGGGUCUGAUCGAGAACUAUUUUAAAACAGUGGGUUUUUUUUUUCCUGUCCUCAAGUCCAGUGGUUCCUUCAUCUUCCAGCCAAAGCCUGCACACAUGCAGGAACCUUGGUCAGAUUCAGAAAUGUCUGAAGUAAAUUUCUCUGUCUAAACAUUGUAGAUUUAGUAUCCAAGAGGCUUUUUUUGUGAACACUGGACCAAAAGCUGUUUUCACUGAAGUCUAAGCUGAAGCACACGUUAUAUUAGAGGGAGAAGGAUUAAACCUGUCCUAUUUUUCUCUUUAAGCCUGGAACAUUCAUUUUUCCACUGUACAAACUGUGUAAGUUUGCAUUAAUUUAAAUUUGUCUUCUAUCUGGAAGGGAACAUAAAUUCAAAACAUAAGGGCUUUUCUUCCAGCUUUCUUUUAAGAGUGUGCUGUGAAGGUCCAGGAACUACUCACAGAUUGCCUUAUCUUUUGCUGUUUAUUAGCGUAAAACUCUGUAACUAUUACAUAGUUUUAAUUACUCCUAGACUAGUACAAAACAACCUUAUUAUUUCUGUAAUUAUAGUAUUAAUACCUCUCACACUUCUACAGAAACUUAUUUCUUAACAUGACUAAUCUUAAUCUUAAAGCUAAUCUUAAAGUUUAGAUUUAUAUGAUAACACAUGAGAUUGAAUUCUGAGCUUUCUGAAUUCUGCAUUUUUUACUAAAAUCACAGCUUCUGGCUGUUGUGAUUCCAAAGAAUAUCUGAAGAGCAUAACCUGGCUCCACCCUGAACACUAAAAACAAUACCAGAAGAAGACAAAAAACCUUGUUUAAAAAAUAACUUCUUGGAGUAGUUACAUCUGGGAACUGAGGAAGGCCAGUGGGGUGGUAGCCCCUCCUAGCACCUUUUUUCCAUUAUCUGGUACGUAACAGAAGGGAGGAUUUGCCAGUCCAGCAGUCCCACUCUUUUCUCUAUUCUACUGUAAUUGCUAGAAACCAUCACAUGUGAAGGCUCCUGAAUUUUUAGCACUUUGGGUUGGUAAUACUGUAGUCCCAUUUAUUGCAACAUGACUUCAGUAAAACUAACAUUCACAGAACUUACGGGAGCUAAUGUCAUAUCACAAAACAACUACUGAAGUCAUUUCAGAAAUUUCCUUUGACUUUCAGAAGUUGAGGGAUGCUUUACUGGUUCAUUUGUGAAACAUCUUUGCUUUCCAAAUAGAUCUUGUAUGACCUCAUUUGUUAACAGUCAUAGGUGGUGUUGAAGCUCUUAUUACAUAAUUUGAAAUAUAUUUUCACAACCUUCAGGAACCUGGAAUUUUCUGACAGAUUAUUAAUGAUGCAACAGGGUGCCUAUUUCAUAACAGGGCACUGAAUCUUACUAUGAACUCCUGGAAUCCCUUAAAAGAUAGGGCCAUGUUCUCAGUUUGAGUAUCUAGGCCUUAGCACAAAAUAAAUAUAUACAUAAUAAUUACUAAGCAAAAUAGCCACUUGUUGUGACUUCACUUUUCUUCAAGGUAUAUGCCUGAAUACCUUAACCCAUGUCCACCUUCCUCUCCAAAAUAGCACUAAAUGCUGAUGAGAGAAGUAUAUUUCAUAAUGAUUGUACUUUGUACUGACUUACAUCCACUAAGAGUACAACUGAAAUACUGUCGGUACAGUAUUUCAUACAUAGAGGUCUGUAUGCUCUGCUUAUCAGAAGUCAUAGGGCAGAAGUUAGCACAGUGCCAAGUCUGAGCUAUAUGCCCUCUUAAGAGGGGUUCAAGCCAGCUUGUGAAAUACCACGUAAACAUAGCCAUAGUCAAUACAGCUAGGCGCAAGAAUAACUCCUCUGCUCUACUUUACUGUCCUCUCAUUAGUGCCAUGAUAACAGCAUGGUAUCUGAGCAAUGUGCUUGUAUAUAGCACACAUUGUGUUCCCCAGAGAAGGGAGUGUGUGCAUAGUAGCAGGGAAAGAAGGAGGGGUUUGUUUGCUCUUUAUAGACAAGUGCAUUUGGAGCAGAAGGCAAUGAUGUUUUCUGACUUCCUGGAAUGUUUCAUUCAAGUCUUGGGCCGUCUCUGUAGAAAGACCUGUUUUCUUCUUUUCCUCUGCCAAAAAGAAGCAUCACCUUUAUGUCCAGGUUUCUUACUAUUAGGAAGGGCAAAGAAUUUUUAUCUGCUAUCAUCCUCCUGACACUUCAGACAUUGUUUGAGAUGUUCUAGUGCCAGUCCCACAUAAUGCUGACAACUUCCUCAAGGUUUUGCAAUAUACUGCCAAAAGGAUGGAGAGGUUCAAAGUGCCUUUCAUUACCUUUGGCAAUUUUCCCUUUCCUCGAAAAAUAGGAGGAACAGCACUGCUUUUUUUACUUUUUUUUUUUUCUUUCUUUUUUUUUUUUUUCCCCCAGCUCUUCCCCUUAUCACGGCUGCAGAUCACUUAGCUUGGCCUACACUAGCCAGUGCGAAAGCAGCAGUCCUUCAUCUUGUGCUUCAUGUGCAGCCUAUAAGGCCUUUUGAUAUCACAAGGGCCAUAAGGACAUAACAAGCUUAUACUGAAUAAAAGGAGAACAUCACAUGCUGCUUACAGCUUAUUAUUUGUUUCAUAUUGUUACCUCUAAGACAUCAAAGGCUGCUUUGCAAAUCUCUGUGUGAAAAUUAAUUCUUAGGGCUGCUCAAAUAUAAUAAAAAAUAGUAAGCUGUACUUCAAAUACUGUGCUAUUAAACAGGUUAGUACUUAAGAAUAGAAUAUUCCCUGUAAUUCCACAAAAAUUAAAGCAUAAUGAACCCUGAAAUAUAAAAUACCUGCAAGGUGUUGUUAUAACCAAUAUCUUUCUCUUUCAGCAGCAUGCUUACCCUUUGCGUUUCUUUUCUACUGUGUUUCCAUUUUGUUUAAAGUCACUCACUGAACACUUUGUCUUAAGUAUGUGUUAAAAGCAUGACAUCACUUGCUGUACAGGUGUUCCUAUCUAUUAAUAAAUACCUGUUGUAAUGAUGUAUAAUUAAAUAGAUGUACUUCAUUUGAGAAAACCAAUUAAUGUCUAAGAAAAGUAGAUGAAUUUUAAAUGAUUAAUACAAUUCCAAAACUGAGUGUAAUUUCUCAGUAGAUUCUUUGCUGACUGCAUGUUAGUGUAGAUGGUUUUUCAUCUGUUUCAGCUAUAUUCUCCACUUUAUUUUUCUCCUGCAUUGAUCUUUCUUCAAGUGUGGCAAAGGAAUAACUGAAGAGCGGUAUGCAAGCAUCCAAGCAUUUUACAGAGCACACAAUAGAUGCUGUCUAGUUAUUGUCCGUGCUGACAUGAUUUUCCUGCAUUACCAGAUCCUAACACCAACAGAGAAGUCUUAUGUAUUGACUGCCUUUUGGUAAGGGAAAUGCAGACUUUUCCAGGGAUAUUCUUAUGGCUUAAAAUAGUGUAAUGGACUGCACUGGAUGUUGCCUCCUUUUUCACCUUCAAGCAGAUGUAGAAAGGCUGUGAUUGUUUCCUGGAGACUUGUUGAUCCCAGUCCAGUAAUGCAGUUCUGGAUUUUAAAACACUGUCUGAUCCCAUCACAUACCCAUUGCUGACAAUCACUGGCUCUAAAAAAUGAGACUGAUUGAUCAAUCAAUUGAUCUAGUUCUCUAUUCAUUUACUCACCUUUCCCUGUCUCUGUCAUUUCUUAAUUGAAGUGAAAUUCCUAUUAGUGUAAUAAAAAAGAUAAAUAUGUUAUCAGGUUAUCUGGGCUUGUACUCAGCUAAUAACUUUGUUGCCCAAGGAUUUUAUCCUUGCCUAUUACUAACUUGCUAUGAAUGCCUGAAGAAAAAAAUGCUAUAUGCAAUUUUAGAAUGGCAAAAAAGUAAAAUAAAAUAAAAUAAAAUAAACCAAAACAAAAUAAAAUAAAAUAAAAUAAACAAACAAAAACCACAAGUGUCCUGCUUCCUUUGCACAGAAGUUGCCUGACAAACAAAAAAUGCUGUUUGAAUUUAAGUCAAUUAGUUACUACUGGGUUUUUCCCCUUACUUUCUGUUUGAUAUGUUAUUUCCCCCACCUCCACCACUAUAUCCUGGCCAAAGGAAUGGUGACAGUGGAUUUCAAACAGUUACAACAUCACACAAGAAAGGAGUGAACCUCACUUACAGUGACCAACUUGCAUCUAAAUUCUAGUGUUAGCACAGAUUGUAGCAUAUCAGAUUUAUCAAAUGUAAACAACAGAUUUAUGAUAUAAACAGCAGACUGGUGUAAUAGGAAGCAUUGUAUUACUCCACUGAAAAGCAGUGAACCAUUUUUAUAUGCAUGCUCCGAGGGAGGAAUUUUUGUGCUUUCUUGUAUUAAAGAGGACUGGUAUCUAUAGUUCCGCAGCAAAUCUUACAGAGAUGACAUUCUUUUUUAUUUCUGCCCCAUAUUGUAUGAGUGACUAUAAAGAUUUGCAAAAGCAUAUCGUGGACAUAGGUACCAAAAUCCCACUGACUCCAGGCAAUCAUUUACUGUAGUAAAUGGGAUUCAUUCUUAAAUCACGUCUGAAAUGUCAAAAUGUCAUACAUAUCUCUUCUUGCUUUUUUUCUUUAAAAAAAAAAAAAAUCCUUACUCAUGAUAGUUCUAUCUCCUUCCCCCCAUUCUUUUUUACUUUUAAUAUAUUUCAUUUGAGGAGAGAAUUGUCUCUAAGUACAGGUUGUAUGUAUAAACAGAGUCUACUUAGAGACACAUGGCACGUUGUGAGCUGUGUGUUGACUGGACAGGUGUGAAUUUAGUGGGGGAGAAGGGAAUAGCACUAAGAGGUGAAAACUGCUCUUUUACACUUCCCUUCUUUAGCACCAGCUAGUGCUGUUUAUGCACUUGUAUUUUAUAUCUAAAUCCAGCACUAUAUUAAACAAGAAUUAGCUCUAAUUGGAAACUUUAGUAGUUACAUUAGCGUGAUGGUGGCCAAUUAAUUAGAUGAGGCCACAGUAACACUAUUGUGCAAUUUCUACUUUGAAGGUAGUGGAUUGCCUACCAGCUUGAGCACAAAUGAGGUAAACACCUUAUUAACCUCUCCAUCUAAGGAGAGAUACCUGGCAUAUGGAUUAACUUUAAGGUAGUCCUGUGUGGAGUCAUGAGUUGGACUCAAUGAUCCUUGUGCCUCCUAACCCAUCUAACCUUGUCCCUUCUAACCCAGAAUAUUCUGUGAUUCUAUGCUCUUGGAUUGUUGUUCUAGAUGCAACAUAAUGCAAACAAACCACUGUUGUAUAAAGCUGAGAUUUUAUUAUUAUUAUUUUUAAUAGAAGUGGAAUGUAUUGUUUCCUUCUAUUAUUUUCCAUUUCUGUGAAAGCUUGAUCUUGGUCCAGUGAUUACAUGUAGCAGCUUGGUACUGGA